rnacentral:rRNA from 1 species
AUGAACGCUAGCUACAGGCUUAACACGUGCAAGUCGAGGGGCAUCAGGAAGAAAGCUUGCUUUCUUUGCUGGCGACCGGCGCACGGGUGAGUAACACGUAUCCAACCUGCCCUUUACUCGGGGAUAGCCUUUCGAAAGAAAGAUUAAUACCCGAUAGCAUAAUGAUUCCGCAUGGUUUCAUUAUUAAAGGAUUCCGGUAAAGGAUGGGGAUGCGUUCCAUUAGGUUGUUGGUGAGGUAACGGCCCACCAAGCCUUCGAUGGAUAGGGGUUCUGAGAGGAAGGUCCCCCACAUUGGAACUGAGACACGGUCCAAACUCCUACGGGAGGCAGCAGUGAGGAAUAUUGGUCAAUGGGCGCUAGCCUGAACCAGCCAAGUAGCGUGAAGGAUGAAGGCUCUAUGGGUCGUAAACUUCUUUUAUAUAAGAAUAAAGUGCAGUAUGUAUACUGUUUUGUAUGUAUUAUAUGAAUAAGGAUCGGCUAACUCCGUGCCAGCAGCCGCGGUAAUACGGAGGAUCCGAGCGUUAUCCGGAUUUAUUGGGUUUAAAGGGAGCGUAGGUGGACUGGUAAGUCAGUUGUGAAAGUUUGCGGCUCAACCGUAAAAUUGCAGUUGAUACUGUCAGUCUUGAGUACAGUAGAGGUGGGCGGAAUUCGUGGUGUAGCGGUGAAAUGCUUAGAUAUCACGAAGAACUCCGAUUGCGAAGGCAGCUCACUGGACUGCAACUGACACUGAUGCUCGAAAGUGUGGGUAUCAAACAGGAUUAGAUACCCUGGUAGUCCACACAGUAAACGAUGAAUACUCGCUGUUUGCGAUAUACAGUAAGCGGCCAAGCGAAAGCAUUAAGUAUUCCACCUGGGGAGUACGCCGGCAACGGUGAAACUCAAAGGAAUUGACGGGGGCCCGCACAAGCGGAGGAACAUGUGGUUUAAUUCGAUGAUACGCGAGGAACCUUACCCGGGCUUAAAUUGCAGUGGAAUGAUGUGGAAACAUGUCAGUGAGCAAUCACCGCUGUGAAGGUGCUGCAUGGUUGUCGUCAGCUCGUGCCGUGAGGUGUCGGCUUAAGUGCCAUAACGAGCGCAACCCUUAUCUUUAGUUACUAACAGGUUAUGCUGAGGACUCUAGAGAGACUGCCGUCGUAAGAUGUGAGGAAGGUGGGGAUGACGUCAAAUCAGCACGGCCCUUACGUCCGGGGCUACACACGUGUUACAAUGGGGGGGUACAGAAGGCAGCUAGCGGGUGACCGUAUGCUAAUCCCAAAAUCCUCUCUCAGUUCGGAUCGAAGUCUGCAACCCGACUUCGUGAAGCUGGAUUCGCUAGUAAUCGCGCAUCAGCCACGGCGCGGUGAAUACGUUCCCGGGCCUUGUACACACCGCCCGUCAAGCCAUGGGAGCCGGGGGUACCUGAAGUACGUAACCGCAAGGAUCGUCCUAGGGUAAAACUGGUGACUGGGGC